CUGUGUGGCUAGGAACUAAGGCCUCCUGUCAAUAGUCCUGUGUAUGAGUCAUCUUGGAAGUAGAUUGCCCAGCUGCCGUCAAGCCUUCAGAAGACUGUGGUCCUCACUGACAUCUUGCCUGCAACCUCAUGAGAGUUCCUGAGCUAGACCACCCAGUUAAGUUACUGCUGGAUUCCUGACCACAGAAACUGUGAGCUGAUGUUACGCUUCAAUCUACUGUCUGCAUUCUUAACUCUGUCUCAGCAUCUGAUUCCCAGAGGACCUAACUGAUGGUGGUUCCAGGAAUGCUCAAAGAAAACAGGUGAAGAGAAUUCAUUGGUUUACAUAAUUUUAGUUGGAAGUGGACUGAGGGAAAAUGGCAGAUAGGAGGCAGGACUAACUUGCAGCUCCCACUUGGAUGGACAGAACAACAUAUGGAGACUCACAUAAUGAACUUUUGCUCCAAGAACUACCACAGAAAUAUGCCAGGAAAGCCGAGAGAAUCCACAGACCCUUUGAAGGAGGUGGAUUGCUGCUGCAGGCUCCGUGGGACA
rnacentral:lncRNA from 1 species